AAGCAGUGAUGAGCGAAGCGUUGUCUGAACUGGUAUUGCUGAGACCCCGCGUCUUUGCUCUGACCAGGGCAUGAUCACGUAAUCUUCUCUCUGAGCUU
ensembl:snoRNA small nucleolar RNA, C/D box 7